rnacentral:rRNA from 1 species
AGUGAACGCUGGCGGUAGACCUAACACAUGCAAGUCGAACGGCAGCACAGGAGAGCUUGCUCUCUGGGUGGCGAGUGGCGGACGGGUGAGGAAUACAUCGGAAUCUACUCUGUCGUGGGGGAUAACGUAGGGAAACUUACGCUAAUACCGCAUACGACCUACGGGUGAAAGCAGGGGACCUUCGGACCUUGCGCGAUUGAAUGAGCCGAUGUCGGAUUAGCUAGUUGGCGGGGUAAAGGCCCACCAAGGCGACGAUCCGUAGCUGGUCUGAGAGGAUGAUCAGCCACACUGGAACUGAGACACGGUCCAGACUCCUACGGGAGGCAGCAGUGGGGAAUAUUGGACAAUGGGCGCAAGCCUGAUCCAGCCAUACCGCGUGGGUGAAGAAGGCCUUCGGGUCGUAAAGCCCUUUUGUUGGGAAAGAAAUCCAGCUGGCUAAUACCCGGUUGGGAUGACGGUACCCAAAGAAUAAGCACCGGCUAACUUCGUGCCAGCAGCCGCCGUAA